UGGGGAAUAUUGGACAAUGGGCGGAAGCCUGAUCCAGCAACGCCGCGUGAGGGAUGACGGCCUUCGGGUUGUAAACCUCUUUCGCUUAUGACGAAGUUCUGCCUUUUUGGGUGGAGUGACGGUAAUGGGUAAAGAAGCACCGGCCAACUACGUGCCAGCAGCCGCGGUAAUACGUAGGGUGCGAGCGUUGUCCGGAAUUAUUGGGCGUAAAGGGCUCGUAGGCGGUUUGUCGCGUCGGGAGUGAAAACCUCAUGCUUAACAUGUGGCUUGCUUUCGAUACGGGCAGACUAGAGGUAUGCAGGGGAGAACGGAAUUCCUGGUGUAGCGGUGAAAUGCGCAGAUAUCAGGAGGAACACCGGUGGCGAAGGCGGUUCUCUGGGCAUUACCUGACGCUGAGGAGCGAAAGUGUGGGGAGCGAACA
rnacentral:rRNA from 1 species